AGAGUUUGAUCCUGGCUCAGAACGAACGCUGGCGGCGUGCCUAACACAUGCAAGUCGAGCGCGAAAAGGACUUCGGUCCCCAGUAGAGCGGCGCACGGGUGAGUAACACGUGGGUAAUCUGCCCUUAGGUCUGGAAUAACUCAGGGAAACUUGAGCUAAUACCGGAUAAGACCCCGCAAUGAGAAUUGCGAGGGAAAAGCAGGGGCCUCCUUCGGGAGCCUUGCGCCAGAGGAUGAGCCCGCGGCCCAUCAGCUAGUUGGCGGGGUAACGGCCCACCAAGGCUAAGACGGGUAGCUGGUCUGAGAGGAUGGCCAGCCACACUGGAACUGAGACACGGUCCAGACUCCUACGGGAGGCAGCAGUGGGGAAUAUUGCGCAAUGGGGGAAACCCUGACGCAGCAACGCCGCGUGAGUGAUGAAGGUCCUCGGAUCGUAAAGCUCUGUCGGCAGGGAAGAUGGUUUGGUUGGUUAAUAACCAAUUAAGCUGGCGGUACCUGCAAAGGAAGCACCGGCUAACUCUGUGCCAGCAGCCGCGGUAAUACAGAGGGUGCAAGCGUUGUUCGGAAUCAUUGGGCGUAAAGGGCGCGUAGGCGGUCUCGCAAGUCGAAUGUGAAAGCCCAGGGCUCAACCUUGGAAGUGCAUCCGAAACUGCGAGACUUGAAUCUCGGAGAGGGUGGUGGAAUUCCCAGUGUAGAGGUGAAAUUCGUAGAUAUUGGGAGGAACACCGGUGGCGAAGGCGACCACCUGGACGAAGAUUGACGCUGAGGCGCGAAAGCGUGGGGAGCAAACAGGAUUAGAUACCCUAGUAGUCC
rnacentral:rRNA from 1 species